rnacentral:tRNA from 1 species
GCCUCAUUGGCUCAGGGGCAAAGCGUCUGUCUAGUAAACAGAAGGUCGCUGGUUCGAUUCCAGCAUGAGGCA